rnacentral:tRNA from 1 species
GGCUGUGUAGCUCAAUCGGAGAGAGCACCGCGUUGUCAGCGCGGAGGGUGAGGGUUCGAAUCCCUUCACAGUCG